ACGCUGCGGCGUGGAUUAGGCAUGCAAGUCGAACGAGAAAGGUUUUCGGGAACUGAGUAGAGUGGCAAACGGGUGAGUAACGCGUGGGAAACCUUCCCUUUUGUUGGGGAUAACAAUCUAACGGUGUGCUAAUACCGAAUAAGAUCAUUUCAUCGCAUGAUGAUUUGAUGAAAGGCGGCCUCUGUUUUCAAGCUGUCGCAGAAGGAUGGUCCCGCGUUCCAUUAGCUUGUUGGUGGGGUAACGGCUCACCAAGGCGACGAUGGAUAGCCGGCCUUAGCGGGUGACCGGCCACACUGGGAGUGAGAUACGGCCCAGACUCCUACGGGAGGCAGCAGUCGAGAGGCUUCCACAAUGGGGGAAACCCUGAUGGAGCGACGCCGCGUGGGUGAUGAAGGUUUUCGGAUCGUAAAGCCCUUUCAGCAGUGAAGAAGGAAUCCGGUGUUAAUAUCACCGGAUUCAAGACGGUAUCUGCAGAAGAAGCUCCGGCUAACUCCGUGCCAGCAGCCGCGGUAAGACGGGGGGAGCGAGCGUUGUUCGGAUUUACUGGGCGUAAAGGGCGUCUAGGCGGGCCAGUAAGUCAGGUGUGAAAUCCCCCGGCUUAACCGGGGACUGCACUUGAUACUGCUGUCUUGAGUUCGGAAGAGGGAAGUGGAAUUCCUGGUGUAGCGGUGAAAUGCGUAGAUAUCAGGAAGAACACCGGUGGCGAAGGCGGCUUCCUGGUCCGAUACUGAGCGUAAGCGCGAAAGUGUGGGUAGCAAACAGGAUUAGAUACCCUGGUUGCCACACUGUAAAACGGUGGAUACUAGGUGUCGGGGAUCAACCCCUUCGGUGCCGAAGCUAACCAUUAUUCCCCGCCUGGGGAGUACGGUUCGCAAGGCUUGAAACUCAAGACAAUUGAAGC
rnacentral:rRNA from 1 species